rnacentral:rRNA from 1 species
GGCGAACGGGUGAGUAACACGUGAGUAAUCUGCCUCUGACUCUGGGAUAACCACGGGAAACGGUGGCUAAUACCGGAUAUGACACAUGGUCGCAUGGUCUGUGUGUGGAAAGUUUUUCGGUCAGAGAUGAGCUCGCGGCCUAUCAGCUUGUUGGUGGGGUAAUGGCCUACCAAGGCGACGACGGGUAGCCGGCCUGAGAGGGCGACCGGCCACACUGGGACUGAGACACGGCCCAGACUCCUACGGGAGGCAGCAGUGGGGAAUAUUGCGCAAUGGGCGAAAGCCUGACGCAGCGACGCCGCGUGAGGGAUGAAGGCCUUCGGGUCGUAAACCUCUUUCAGCAGGGAAGAAGCGCAAGUGACGGUACCUGCAGAAGAAGCACCGGCUAACUACGUGCCAGCAGCCGCGGUAAUACGUAGGGUGCAAGCGUUGUCCGGAAUUAUUGGGCGUAAAGAGCUCGUAGGCGGUCUGUCGCGUCUGCUGUGAAAACCUAGGGCUUAACUCUGGGCGUGCAGUGGGUACGGGCAGACUAGAGUGCGGUAGGGGAGACUGGAAUUCCUGGUGUAGCGGUGAAAUGCGCAGAUAUCAGGAGGAACACCGGUGGCGAAGGCGGGUCUCUGGGCCGUAACUGACGCUGAGGAGCGAAAGCAUGGGGAGCGAACAGGAUUAGAUACCCUGGUAGUCCAUGCCGUAAACGUUG